rnacentral:lncRNA from 1 species
GAUUGAGUGUAAGCUGCUAUAUGAAGGGAUCCACAAGACGAAUAAUUAAGGGGGACCUCUGAUCAACAGCCAGCAAGGAACUGAAUCCCUCAGACCCACAACUCACAAGAAACUGAAGCUGAAGCAGAUUCUUCCUCAGUCAAGCUUCAGGUGCCCAGCUGUAUUGGUAGAGGAGACCAACCACACCCUCCACAGCACAGCACCUGGAGAGGAACUGCUGCCAUGACCAUAGAGGACACCCUCUGGAUACAAUGCCAGACUUGAUGUGGGACUGACCAACCUAUGGACCCCAGGCACCACCACCCAGACCUGCUCAGCACCUGAAACAUUCACAGCCGUGGAGAGAGAACUGUUCACUGCUACCAUCCACACUUCUGGGCCCCUUCAGCAGCAGGGUGACAAGGAAGAGGGAAAUCGACUUGGAAAAGAGGGGACCUCUGACCCAAGAGUUCGGUCAAUGCAUAUGUUGGCAGCCAGCUGCACAUCGCACCAAAUAUGAACUUCAAAUAGAAGAAAGCCUCAUUUGGAAGAAAGCUCAUGCACAGACUGUAAAUAUUUCAGAGCAGAUUGUGUCUCUGUAGAUUAAUAACCAAAAAAUAGAAGAUUCAGAAGAACUAGCAAAUGUGGAGAGAACGGAUGAAAUGGAAGCAGUGUGAACCUAGUGAAUACUUGCCAAGCUGUAUCUCCCCUGAAUUUGUCAAAACAUCAUCUCCAGCAUCUGAGCUAGACCAACCCUCAGUGCUAACAUUGAUGUGAUUAAAGAGUCUGAACUGGGA